GACCACAGCCAUAUCACCCUGCAGCCCAAGACUGGUUGCCCACUGAAGCUAAGCAGGAUUGAGCCUGGUCAGUACCUGGAUGGGAGACCUCCUGGGAAAACUAGGUUGCUGUUGGAA
rnacentral:rRNA from 1 species